rnacentral:lncRNA from 1 species
AGUGGCGGAGCUAGAUAUUAAUUUUACAUGGGUCAUUUAUUCAUAUUAUACUAACUAAAAAGGUAUGUGUGAGGUUUGAACACAAGACAUGGGGGUCAUAGGGGAGGAUUUUUACCAAAUCAUCACGAGAACAUGAAUGUUUAUCAGCCUAUAAGUUAAGUUUUAUAAAUUUCAUGUGGGUCAGAUGACCCCCCUCAGGUCAGGGUGGCUCCGCCACUG